CUGUUUCACCUGGAAUUCCUCACAGCAAAUGUAGAAUUGUGGGUGGCCAGAUUUUAAAUGACACAAACGUACAGCAUUGCAUAAGCAAGCAUUUGCAAAAGACAUUUAAAAAUGGGGAUCAAAGGACUGCAAAGUUUUGUGCAAAAUUCCUGUUCUAAUGUGUGCAGCACAGUCAACCUAAGGACACUAGCCGCUAGACACAAAUCUUCUAAUCCUGAAAGCUCUCCUACCAUUGUCGUUGAUGCAAUGGGGUGCUUGCGAACCUGGUACACACCAAAUGACUGGGUUCAUGGAGGUCAGUGGAAGGAAUAUCUGUGUAGUUUGCAGACAUUCAUCUCUGCUUUUCAAGCAGCUGGGAUUCGGCUGGUGUUCAUCUUUGAUGGUGUCAUUGAAAAGACAAAGAGGGAAGAAUGGGUGAAACGACGACUCCGGGACAACAAUGAGAUCUCAAAAAUCUUUGAUUUUAUUAAAGCAAAUGGGCAGCAACCGGGUCGAAAUAUGUUUUUUAUCCCCUCAGGAAUUUCCACUUUCACCAAGUCUGCACUCAAGUCUUUGGGGCAAGAAGUAAUUCUUUCCCAUGUUGAAGGUGAUUAUGAAGUGGCUGCAUAUGGUUUACAACACCAGUGCCUUGGAAUACUAGGCGAGGAUAGUGACUACCUUAUCUUCAAUACUGUCCCAUACUUUUCAGUUUCAAAGCUUUGCCUAGCCAGUCUAGAAACCAUUAUGUACUUGAGGGAAAACCUCUGUAGAGAACUGAGCCUCCGACUUUCUGAUCUCCCACUUCUUGCUUGCCUACUAGGUAAUGAUGUAAUUCCAGAAAAAAUGGUGGCAUGUUUUCAGAGAAAAUGCAUGGCAUCAUAUCCUUUGCGAAAUUCUGACCAGAAUAGGAGAGCCCAAGUAAUUCGUGCUGUGGCUGCAUUUAUCUCAAAUUUACAGCAUUCUCAACAUGGCCUGAGCCAAGUAGAGUGUAUGUUGCCUCACUGGUUUGACAAGACAUUGCUGCAAAAGGGAAUAGCAUUAUAUAUUUUACCACAACAGAAUUCACCCUGGCUUUCAGAGCUUCCACAGGGAAAUGCAGAAAGAAAUAUCAUAGAAUCAGUUGUCUGCCCAUACAAGGACAUUGUUCAGACUGCCUUGAGCAAGCGCUGCAAAGGAGAAAUGGCGGGAGUAUGCAAAAUCCUGUUAACUGGGGAGACAGAUUGCAGUAACACUCUGGAAGAUGAACAUGACUCAGAAAUUAUGGGACAAGCUCUCAUCUACAGGCCAGUCCGUCAGCAUGUUUAUGCAAUCCUGCUUGGAAAUGGAAAUGCUUCUCCAGACACCUGCCCUGUAGUUAAGGAGUGGUAUGUCUACCCAGGAAAUCGGUUGCUGCAGCCAGACAUUGUCCAAGCUGUUCCACUUUCCAUAGCAGGUGGAGCUCCAAGCAUAAGAAACCUAUGGAUGGCUAACAGUCCUGAUAUUCAGAGUGAGCGUUUCUAUGCAUAUUUUGCUUGCUUUCAAAUUGAGAACUUCACAGAUGAGCUUAAAGCCCUGGAACCAUGUCUUGCUGCUGUCUGCUGUCUACUUAUAUACAUUGCUGUGCAGGUGGUAAGUGUAAGUCAAAAAGAUGUGGAAGCAUUUUUGGCCCAAGUUCUGUGUCUUCCAGGAAAAUCUGCAGGUCAGCUGAAGAGUUUACAGCUUCUCCAGGUUGAGUCAAGAGCAGUCCAUCUUGCUUUUCUUUUUCUCAGAGGAAUUAAUACAGUCCUGUUAGUUAACAGUGCUUGUGGCUCCCCUUUCAACAAAAUGGAUUUAAUGCCAUGGAACACUUUUGACGGAAAGCUGUUUCACCAGAAAUACCUGCAGUGUCAUGGAGGGAGUUCACUGGAAGAGAUCUUGGAAGGCAACGAACCCCUAAUUCUCCUUUUCAAGAAACUUAUGAAGAUCGUUUGUGAUGUGUGCGCUACCAAGAACAGGAUCUUACAGGACACAAAGAGAAGGCUUGGCCGUUCCUUUGCUGGGCAUCAGCAGCAAGCAAGAUUCAGCCAUCAGAAUCAACACCGUCCCUAUCAUGGAAGAAAUCAGAGGCAUCAUUUUCCAAGACAUGAUCAUCCUUUUGAAGGAGAAAGACCAGAGACUGAGUUCCACACAGGACAAUGGGCAGAGGAACGGCAGGAGCGAUGGGAUGAUGAUUCUUACGCAUAUGACAGGUCACAUCCAGGGACCAAAUGACACACACAUGAGCCAGGACAAGCAUCCAGACGUAGGGGACACAGAGGAAAGGGAUCCCAGUAUUUAAAAAGGUGGCCACGGUAAAUCUAAGACUUUGGUGGAUUUGAAAGUCUGGAGACCUGCCUCGUCUUAUGUCACUUUUCUGGUGAAAUGUUGCUAUGUAAAAAUCCUUCGCUUAACUAAAGAUUCCUCCCAUCCGCUGUAAUUUUAAUAUGUUUUGUACGUGUCAUAAAGCUCCCGUGCGUUUUAGUCUGCUGUUGA